rnacentral:rRNA from 1 species
CUUGCUUAAAUAUAAGAGGUCCAGCCUGCCCAGUGACCCAGUUCAACGGCCGCGGUAUCCUAACCGUGCGAAGGUAGCGUAAUCACUUGUUCUUUAAAUGGGGACUAGUAUGAAUGGCAUCACGAGGGUUGAACUGUCUCCUUUCUCUAAUCAGUGAAACUAAUCUCCCCGUGAAGAAGCGGGAAUUAUUUUAUAAGACGAGAAGACCCUAUGGAGCUUAAAACAAAUUGACAUCUGCUUCCACCUACUUCAAUUCCUGAAUAAAUAUACAAAAUAUAGCAUCAUUGAUCAAUAGUUUUAGAUUGGGGUGAUCAUGGAGCAAAAAACAACCUCCACGACGAAAAGGAAUAUUCCCUGAGCCAAAAGCCACAACUUUAAGCACUAAAAAAUUAACGCAUCUUGACCCAAUUUUUUGAGCAACGAAC